GUGAUCACUCUUAUCGUAGACUACUGAGUUGAGCUCAUCCCAAGGAGGUUGCAGGCUGACUGGCGUACGAGGUGGCUCGUCGUAGUCAUCUAUAUCAUCGUUGGGGUGGGUGAUCACCUGACUAGGCUGAGGAGUUUGAUUAAAAAUCGGGGAGACUUGUCUGCUGUCAUCGUUGUGGUCAGGAGAUGUGUGGACACAUGCGUUUAUGUGGUUAGGUGAAACGUGGACACUCUGAAUGUGGAUUAAGUGGUCGCUCCACUAAGACCUUCUUCUUUGAUUUUGGUUUCCUCAUGGUUCACGGCGGAGGCGAAGAGAGGGAGUGUUGACGGCUUAAGAUUCGAGACGAAGAGUAUGAGGCGGAGAUGAAGGAAUUGAAGAUAAAUUAGGUUUUGUGAUUUGGGGAAAAGAGGGAGUGUUGAUACGCUUUUGAUUUUUUUUUUUUAAAAAAAAUUUAUGACACCCUUGGUUAAAAGCAAACUCUGGUUGGAUUAGUUUAGAGGGUAUAUGUGACAUUGAAGGCAGAUAAAGUGUGUCACAUGACUAUUGUGUCUGAUUGUGUAAUAUGAAAGACAAAAAGUGUCUUAGAAUGUAAAAAUUUCUUUUGUAAAUUGUUGAUUGAAUAACAACAUAUUUCAAAUGAUUUUAAUAAUUUUACGCAAAUCUCAUGUUCAAUAACACAUAAAGGUAUUUACAAAUCCUUAAUCGAAUAACAGACGAUUUUAAUAAAAAUCCAAAAUCUCCAGUUCAAGUUUAAUACACCCCCCCCCUAACGCUGGUAAUUAAGAUUUAGCAAAAUAGCUAUGUCGAAGAGUAAUUUAAUUGUUUUUGACUUU
rnacentral:lncRNA from 1 species